GGAAACAGGGCGGAGGCGUGGAGGGAGCCGUGCAGCGCUGGUGUGAGGAGCAGCGAGCAGGCCAGGCCUGUAAAGCAGAGUGAGGGAACCAGGAUAGAGAAGGCUGUACAGGAAGCAUGGUGAUGGCAUCUGCAUGGCGCCUGUGGAGGCCCCAGGGAGCUUUUACUCAUGAUGGAAGGCACAGAGGGAGUAGGCACAUCACAUGGUCCGAGGAGGAGCAAGAGAAAAUGGGAGUGGGGGGUGUCAAUGUGCUGAUAUUCCAAUCUUGCAGAAAUCGACUGGAUUUAGUGGAAUUAAAGUCAACUGGAAGACGAUCUGUGGGGAUAAUUCCAUGAUUCAAAGCCUUCAGGGAAAACGUGUUUGCUCAGCUGCAGUGAUUGAAAAAUUGAAGGCAAUGAGAGUCAUAUGUUAUGCUUGGUUAUGUCCUGCUCUGAUGCCAGUUUGGAGUAAAGGCUGAACUUUGCUGUUGAAAGCCACUGUGGAAAGUGGAAACAUUGACUGUGCGUUGCUGAGGGGAGGAAUGUAUUUACUUACCCAGAAAUAGACGCAUCCUUGUCUCAGUGGGCUGGGAGAUAGUAUCAAUCCUUUCUGUUGCAACAGAUCCCACUGCCUUCUUUUUUCAAAAGAGUAAAUAUUUAAAUAGGUAAUACAGAAAAGUUAUUGCCAUUUUUCCUUCAUCAGCCAUGGCUGGGAGUCAAAAGAG
ensembl:lncRNA FRG1-DT FRG1 divergent transcript